CUCUAAACCAACCACAUCCACCAGGUUUCCAAAGGAGGUUGCUCUUAGUAAUGUUCUCUUUCUCUGCUGCACUAUUGGAGUGCCUAAGACGUUGUUAAGGCCGUACUCAUCUCGUCUGUUCUUGAUCUCAAUAACUCUUCCCUUGAGUGACUGGAUCUCUUUUCCGAUACUAUAAAAAUUGGAUUCUUUCUUGCACAUGCAGAUUAAGCUCCGCAUACGGUCUAGAACACCUGCUUCCUGAUCAGAAUGUUCUUCUUGGAGAGCACUGAACCUCUCCAGAAGGAUUACAGCAUCAUUUGCAACCUCUUUGAUGUUUUCUAUCCAUUGGCGGAUCAGGUAACUCAAUUCUUGUUUAGCUUCCGCAUCUCUGACGGAAGAUUGGAGGUAGGCCAAUUCAUCUUUGAGCCACCUUAUACCAUCUUUUACUCCUCUCCUAGUGUUAAUUCCAUGAGUAAGAAAAUCAUCAAGUUUUCCAAUGGCAAACGAUACAGUUGCAUCAACCAUUCUUUUUGGCUAAAGUGUAGAUGAGAAUUCAAAAGUCAACAAGUAUUUUGCAGCUCUGAGAUUAUUGAAAGUAGGGACUCAGAAGCACAGAUUUCGCAGAAGAAAAGCCUUGGAUGAUUACUUAUGUAAAUUGUUUUCAUGAAAACAUUGAGACCACAGACCCGUUUUUUACCUGUCUUGCUUAAAUUAAUUUUCAAAAUCACAUAUUUUCGGAAAAAAUAUGCAAAGAAUGAAUAUCAAACACCUAUUAAAUAUAUUAUUUUCUAAAAAAUAAUAUGUAAAUGUGAACUUUUUCCCGAGAUAAAUCCUUAUUUCUCUAAAAUAAGUAGGGCAGAACAUGCUCUAUAACAGCCAUACAAAUCACAUCACAGAAGACUGGCAAGUCCUUUUCUUUUAGCUCUAUGUAAAUUGUAUAUUUCUGAAGAAAUUUCAUGUGAAUAUCCUGUGGCAGAUUGUCGACAUAGAAGGUCAACUGUGGCAAAGAAAAAUAUACAUUUAGUUUGGUAUCACUAGGAAAGCAUCUUCUACAUUGAUAUAUUAUUAUCUUCAGAUGUUACAUAAUCUUUUAAGUACAAAUUCUAUUGCAUGUAGUUGAGAUUUUUUAUCCAGGAUAAGAGAAGUAAAUUACCACCAAAUGCUUCUGCUGUGACCGGAGCUAAAUUGAAAUAUAGACAACAAUUAGGUAUCAAAUUUAAUUUUAGACAUUUCUGCUGAUGUUAAAAAAAAAAUAGAGGCACAAGAAACAUUAAUGUGGGCACCUGCCACUUCUACUAGCAUAACUUGUGGAUCUGGGGACCUGAAACAAUGAUAACUAAGAAAUGUAUAUCAAUUGAAGCUGUUAAGCUUGAGCCUAAGAAUCUUGUUACUUAAGCAGUAAAAGCAUAAGCAUAAGAAUAUUCUAGUUAUCUGUCCCUGUGUCUGUGUGCUCUUCUAAUAUUUAACAUAGCUAAUACAACUCAAAGUAUAAAAAGUGAGGUUUAUUUAAACAAAGCAUAUAUUUCUUUGUUGUUUAAUAAAUUCCACAGUGAUCCAUAUAAACUGAAACAUAAAAUUUUAAAAUAAUGACACGAGGACAACAGCAUUACUCCUUAUUAAACAGAAAAUACAAACUACAAUUAGGACUCAGACAUUCAUCAGUAAUUAUUUUCAGACAUAAAUUUGACAAUUCCUGUUCAUCUGAUCUGCUGGUUUGCAUUGUCUGCAGACUGCUGGACUGAAGCUUGUGACAGAAACAUCGCAGUUGCGGGUGUCAUAGUUUGAUACUGAGGAGGUGGAGGCAGCUGAGAAGCUG
rnacentral:lncRNA from 1 species